rnacentral:piRNA from 1 species
UAGAUGAGGAAAAUUACUCAUGCGCAU